rnacentral:rRNA from 1 species
AGCUACAGACAUACUACCCUUCAUUCACCCAGUCUUAUAUGAUUUCUGAAGCUAAGCAGAAACCAAGCUUGGGCCUGCUUAGUCCAUGGAUGGGAGAAGGCUCAGGCACAUAAUCU